UACGAAGGGUGCAAGCGUUACUCGGAAUUACUGGGCGUAAAGCGUGCGUAGGUGGUUGUUUAAGUCCGUUGUGAAAGCCCCUGGGCGUCAACCUGGGAAUUGCAGUGGAUACUGGGCAACUAGAGUGUGGUAGAGGGUGGCGGAAUUCCCGGUGUAGCAGUGAAAUGCGUAGAGAGUCGGGAGGAACAUCCGUGGCGAAGG
rnacentral:rRNA from 1 species